rnacentral:ncRNA from 1 species
CUAGCUGCCUUAGGCGACGGUCCUCGUCAGAGGUCAAAAGGGAAUGCCGGUGCGGGCUUGACGCCCAAGGCCGGAGCUGCCCCCGCAACUGUGAGCGGUUGAGGCGCGAACCAUCAAAGCCACUGGAUCUGCUGCCAUGUUGGCGGCGACGAUCUGGGAAGGCGGUUCGCUUCGAUGAUCCGCGAGCCAGGAGACCUGCCUUCGCCAUGGAAGCCAAA